CCUGUAAUCCCAGCUACUCGGGAGGCUGAGGCAGGAGAAUCACUUGAACCCAGGAGACAGGUUGCAGUGAACCAAGAUUGUGCUGCCACUCUCCAGCCUGGGUGACAGAGCAAAACUCCAUCUCAAAAAAAAAAUGUGACCACUCAACCCCUCUGUCCCGGCCUUGCUGUCCCUGCUGGUCCUUCCCCCCUCCCUCCUUCUUAUAUGUGCCCAGGAACCAGAAAUAGCCUAUCAACCCUGAAGGAGUCUAACAGGCCUUGCCACUUACCACCAGUCCCCAGCAGAGCUUCCCGGAAUCAUUGUCCUCUCCCUUCCCCUUGUUCGGUUUUCUCUUUCACUUUCCUAGGCUCUUUGGCUAGGACUGGCUGCAGAAGUUGAUUUGCAUAAUUAUUUAACCCUGGUAAGAACGAAAGCUGUAAACCAAAUUAGGUAUGCCAGCAGGUAGCAGGUAUAGAAGAAGAAUCACGGGGUACAUCUGACCCUCGUCCUUGCUUCUCGUGAUCACAGUCCCAAGAAUAACACAAGAAAUUCUCCAAGUUUCCAAGAAGGGAAGAUGGAGUGGAGGGCGCCCACCCUAUCUCCAGUGGACAUCCCCUGGGCUACUCCUCUCCUGAUGAGAAAAUGCUCACUUCAGCCAAGUGCAGAAUGGUCCCCUUUGUUUUCGUGGGUAUCAGUGGAGAAUGAGAUCCUUCAUAUGGAAUCUCCCUGUGUUGCUCAGGCUGAUCUCGAACUCCUGAGCCCAAGCAUGCAUCAGCCUCUCAGUAGCUGUGAUUACAGGCAUUGAGUCACCACUCCUGAGAAAUAACAGGACUUUGGUGCUAUUCUCCAAGCUGAAAGCCAUCCUCUUCGGCCCUGAGGACACAGCUUUUUCUGCCAUAACUCACUGUCUCCACUGGCUCAAUUAGCCAAUUAGUGGCAUUGUAGAGGGCUGAGAUGUUACUUUUUAGUUUCCAAUAAAAUUCUCAAGUUGGUUUCAAUUCUCCUUAUAAUGAUGAUAAAGUCAAAGCUCAGAGGAACUGAACGAUGGCCCCUUAAAAUUUAUAUUUUGAAGCCCUAACUCCCAAUGUGAAUGUAUUUGGAGAUUGGCCCUCUUUAAAGAGGUAAUUAUGGUUAAAUCAGGUUACAAGGGUGGGGCUUAAGGCAAUAAGACUGGUGUGCUGAAAAAACGGGGAAGAGGCUGGCCGCAGUGCCUCAUGGCUGUAAUCUCAGCACUUUGGGAAUCUAAGGCAGGGGUUUGAGACCAGACUGGGCAACAUGGUGAAACCCUGUCUCUACAAAAAAUUUAAAAAUUAGUGUAGGGGGGUGCCAGGCGUGGUGGCUCAUGCCUGUAAUCCCAGCACUUUGGGAAUCCAAGGCGGGUGGAUCACCUGAGGUCAGGAGUUCGAGACCGACAUGGCAAAACCCCGUCUCCACUAAAAAUACAAAAAUAAGCAGGGCACAGUGGCACACGCUUGUAAUCCCAGCUACUUGGGAGGCUGAGGUGGGAAGAUUGCUUGAGUCCAGGAGUUUGAGGUUACAGUGAGCCAUGAUUGGGCCACAACAGUCUAGUCUGGCAACAGAGUGAGACACCAUUUAUAAAAAAGAAUAAUAAAAUUUUGAAAAUAAUAUAAGAACAAAAUAUUAAUAAUUCCACCAGUGUCAGAAGAUAGAGGCCUAGGCCUCUCAACUUCCAACCCAAGAUCUUUCCAGCAGCCCAAUCUGCUUCCUUGAAGGUGUAAAGAUAGGCCUCCCACCGUCCCAAAUCCGUAUCCUGUCAUUUAGAUGUUUAGGGGCUUAUGAUAGCACUCCUAUGUGUAGGCAUGAACACAAACACAUGCUUAAUUUUGGACUAUUAUUCAUCAGAAAAAUAGUUUUUUCACAUAAAUAAUUGUAAUCAAGGUGUGUUUGAAAGUCAAAAAAAUUUGUCAAAAUAAAUGGAAAAGAAACCAUGGGGGAAAUCACAAGAAGAUACCACUUCAUACCCACUAGGGUGACUAUAAUUUUUUAAAAUGGGAAAUAAGUGUUAUUGAGCAUGUGGAAAAAUCAGAGCCCUCAGACAUUGCUGGUAGGAAUGAAAAAUGCUGCAGCCACUGUGGAAAACAGUAUGGCAGUUCCUCAAAAAGUUAAACAUAGAGUUGCCAUGAACCAGUGGUUCCACUCCCAGGUAUAUACCCCAAAGAACUGAUAACAGAAACUCAAACAAUUAUUUUACAUGAAUGUUCACAGCGUUAUUUACAGUGGCCAAAAGGCAAAAACAACCCAAAUAUCCAUCAACUGUUGACUUACUGGAUAAUCACAAUGUGAUAUAUCCAUACAAUGGAAUAUUACUUACCUACAAAAAGCUACAAAGCGCCGGGCGCAGUGGCUCACACCUGUAAUCCUAGCAUUUUGGGAGGCUGAAGCGAGCAGAUCACAAGGUCAGGAGUUCGAGACCAGCCUGACCAACAUAGUGAAACCCUGUCUCUACUAAAAAUAAAAAAAUUAGUUGGGCAUGGUAGCGCGCCUGUAGUCCCAGCUACUCGGGAGGCUGAGGCAGGAGAUUUGCUUGAACCCGGGAGGUGGAGGUUGUGGUAAGCCAAGAUCGUACCACUGCACUCCAGCCUGGGCAAAAGAGUGAGACUCCAUCUCAAAAAAAAAAAAAAAAAAGAUACAAAGAGGCCAGCAUGUUGGCUUACGCCUGUAAUCCCAGCACUUUGGUAGGCCAAGGUGGGUGGAUAACUUGAGGUCAGGAGUUCGAGACCAGCCUGGCCAAUGUGGUAAAACCCCGUCUCCACUAAAAAUAUAAAAAUUAGCCGGGCGUGGUGGCACAUGCCUGUAAUCCCAGCUACUCCGGUGGCUGAGGCAGGAGAAUUGCUUGAGCCAGGGAGGUGGUGGUUGCAGUGAGCCAAGAGCGUGCCACUGCACUCCAGUCUGGGCGACAGAGUGAGACUUCAUCUAAAAACAAACAAACAAACAAAAAAAAAAAAACAAGUAAAAAAAAAACCUACAAACUGAUUCAUGUUACAAUGUGGAUCAACCUUGAAAAUAUACUAAAUGAAAGAAUACAGGUACAAAGGUCACAUGUCAUAUGAUUCCAUUUAUAUGAAAUGUCUAGAAUAGGCAAAUCCCUAGAGAUAAAAAGAAGAUUGAUGAUACAGAGUUUCAGUUUUGCAAGAUGAAAAAGUUCUGGAGAUUUUGGGCCAAGUGAGGUGGCUCCUGCCUGUAAUUCCAGCACUUUGGGAGGCCAAGGAGAGCAGAUUGCUUGAGCUCAGGCAUUCAAGACCAGCCUGGGCAUCAUAGCAAGACCCCAUUUCUAUUAAAAAUAAUAAUUUUAAACAAGUCCUGGAGAUCUGUUUGACAACAAUAUGAACAUACUUAAUAUAUUUAACACUUGGUUAAGAUGGUAAAUUUUGUUGUGUUUUUUCAUCACAAUGUUUUUAAAAGGUAUGAGACCUAGACUUUGCCCUCUGUGUGGCCCUAAUUUCUUGGGGGUAAAUGGCAAGUAAUUUAGUACUAUUUACAAACUAUUUUCAUAUACAUGAUAUAUCAGGUGCUCCAGGCAGUCCAUGAGAUAGAUAGAAUAAUCCCUCUAUAUCCAUGGGGGUUGGUUCCAGGACCCCCUGAGGAUACCAAAAUUCACAGAGGCUCAAGUCCUUUAAAUAAAAU
rnacentral:lncRNA from 1 species